UACGUAGGGUGCGAGCGUUAAUCGGAAUUACUGGGCGUAAAGCGUGCGCAGGCGGCGCGUUAAGACAGGUGUGAAAGCCCCGAGCUUAGCUUGGGAAUUGCGCUUGUGACUGGCGAGCUGGAGUGUGGCAGAGGGAGGUGGAAUUCCACGUGUAGCAGUGAAAUGCGUAGAGAUGUGGAGGAACACCGAUGGCGAAGGCAGCCUCCUGGGCCAGCACUGACGCUCAUGCACGAAAGCGUGGGGAGCAAACAGG
rnacentral:rRNA from 1 species